AACGAACGCUGGCGGCAUGCCUAACACAUGCAAGUCGAACGAACCCUUCGGGGUUAGUGGCGCACGGGUGCGUAACGCGUGGGAAUCUGCCCUUUGCUUCGGACUAACUCAGGGAAACUUGUGCUAAUACCGGAUGAUGUCUUCGGACCAAAGAUUUAUCGGCAAGGGAUGAGCCCGCGUAGGAUUAGGUAGUUGGUGGGGUAAAGGCCUACCAAGCCGACGAUCCUUAGCUGGUCUGAGAGGAUGAUCAGCCACACUGGGACUGAGACACGGCCCAGACUCCUACGGGAGGCAGCAGUGGGGAAUAUUGGACAAUGGGCGCAAGCCUGAUCCAGCAAUGCCGCGUGAGUGAUGAAGGCCCUCGGGUCGUAAAGCUCUUUUACCAGGGAUGAUAAUGACAGUACCUGGAGAAUAAGCUCCGGCUAACUCCGUG
rnacentral:rRNA from 1 species